ensembl:lncRNA
AACCUUUGUGUGGUGUGCACUGCAGGUCCUGUGGCCUCUGAAAGUCUUACCUCAGUGACUGCUCAUGGUGCCGACCUCCUGGGUCAAGAGUCGUGUCUUUGCAGGAUCUCAAAGCCUCAGGCCUUGAAGGGGCAGAGUUGGAGUAUACUUGCUUUACAAAAAGUCAUACUAAGUUCACAAACACCCAAAAACUCACCACCUGAUGUGGCCCUGCCCAUCAGAGGGACAUAAUCUAGCUCCACCCACCAGAACUAAAGUUGCUAAUGCUCUACCCAUGGAGGAAGCAAGUUUAAAGUGUGAAGAGACGUCUUUCCCUUCAUUUUAAGAGACCUUCUGUCCACCCUCUCUUUGCAGACACCACCAAAAUAGAGCUACUGUAUACCAUCAUAAGCCCUGGGUGUGUAGCUCAUGGUGGUCAGCCUAUGCUUUCCCAGACAUGUGAAGACUCAGCUCCAUUAGUUGCUGAGCUCAGAUUUACCAGGUCUGCUAAAUGGAUGUCCCAAUGUACCAGCUGAAGAGAUCAGAAUAAGUUUUUCUGCUCUGAGUCCAGCUUUUGGCUCACUGAACUGUGAUCAUUUCUUU